ACGAACGCUGGCGGCGUGCUUCACACCUGCCAGUCGAACGAAGAGCGAUGGAAGCUUGCUUCUAUCAAUCUUAGUGGCGAACGGGUGAGUAACGCGUAAUCAACCUGCCCUUCAGAGGGGGACAACAGUUGGAAACGACUGCUAAUACCGCAUACGAUCUAAUCUCGGCAUCGAGGAUAGAUGAAAGGUGGCCUCUACAUGUAAGCUAUCACUGAAGGAGGGGAUUGCGUCUGAUUAGCUAGUUGGAGGGGUAACGGCCCACCAAGGCGAUGAUCAGUAGCCGGUCUGAGAGGAUGAACGGCCACAUUGGGACUGAGACACGGCCCAGACUCCUACGGGAGGCAGCAGUGGGGAAUCUUCCGCAAUGGACGAAAGUCUGACGGAGCAACGCCGCGUGAGUGAUGACGGCCUUCGGGUUGUAAAGCUCUGUUAAUCGGGACGAAAGGCCUUCUUGCGAAUAGUGAGAAGGAUUGACGGUACCGGAAUAGAAAGCCACGGCUAACUACGUG
rnacentral:rRNA from 1 species